AGUUUGUGCCUGGAAGCAAUAAAAUCUUCUGAAAUAGGGAAGAAAUGCUUGUGUAGACUCAUGUGGUUCGUCUCCCUGCCACUGUAAAAGGGUUCAGUGUCUGGAGCAGAGCAGGACAAGUUUGGAUAGUAAACUGAAUAGUGAUGUCCUACAGCAGAGCUCCUCAGUGGUAAACUUGCAUGAGGAGCCACUUAGUCCAUUAAUCUCCCUGAAAUCUUUCACUGCUUUGUGGGCUACUGAAAGCCCACUGAAAUAAUGUUCUUGCUUGUUUCAGUGCUAUCCCUACCAGGCUUCAUCCAUUUGAGGAAGUGAUCUCUGCUUCACUUUGCUUCAACUUGUCAUUACUAAGGUUGGGCACCCUACUACAUGCAACACUAGCUCCUUGUCAGUUUGAUGGUUCAGCUUUGCACUUGGAGGUAAGAGAUGCUGUCACCACAAUGGUAUAAAACUUGCAUAAAUCAGUUGCUUGGAUCAGUCCGGCCAUCAUAAGAUAAAUAUGGAACUGUGAUUGCAUACAUCCUCAAAUGUUAAAUUUGUACACUGGUACAUGUCAGGGCCUUCCACUGCACUUUUCUAACUGCUGCUUUUCUGCCUCCUCUUGUUCAGUAGUUGUUCAACAUCAUAUGGAGCUGCUUACUGGCUGUGUUCAGCGUGAUCUGUAAAGAAAGCUUUUAAAAUCAAACAGAGAAAGACAGUCUCGCUGCUUUCUAAUUUAUAAGAAAAGACCUAAAAGAACUUUGCAUACUUACCUUCUUCUGUUUUGUUUUGGCAUCUGCACCAAGUACACCUGUUCUGCCGUGGUAGCAAACCAGAAAACACAAAGGCUCUGGGACUCCUGUGGCUGGAUGCUAGGUAGGAAAUGGUAUUUCCGCAUAAAUACUUCUCAUGAACUGCAUCCUUCUAUGUUCCCAGGCCUACUGAUGGCGUCUCACAAUCCAGCUUGAAGUGUCCAAAGCACUGAUGAACAGCACAAGCGAAUUUGGAGUCAUCAGGAACAUCAGAUGGCUUUGCUUAGUGGGUCUCAUUUAGAGCCCCACUCUGCCUCUCAUUUAGAGCCUUUGCGAUGGAGUACAAGCAUCCCACUGGAGGAGAGCAGGGCUUGAAUUUUUAGCAGAUACAUCCCUCCUGUGGGAACUGUAUUUGGCCUUGGAGCUAAACUGAGCUGUCGUGGUUUAACCCCAGCCAGCAACUAAGCACCACGCAGCCGUUCACUCACUCCCCCCUCCGGCCCCAGUGGGAUGGGGGAGAAAAUCGGGAAAAGAAGUAAGACUUGUGGGUUGAGAUAAGAAUGGUUUAAUAGAACAGAAAAGAAGAAACUAAUUAUGAUAAUGAUAGAACUAAUAAAGUGACAGCAGUAAUGAUAAAAGGAUUGGAAUAUACAAAUGAUGCGCAGUGCAAUUGCUCACCACCCGCCGAUCAAUGCCCAGUUAGUCCCCGAGCGGCGAUUCCCCCCCCCCAGUUUAUAUACUAGAUGUGGUGUCCCAUGGUGUGGAAUGCCCCGUUGGCCAGUUUGGGUCAGCUGCCCUGGCUGUGUCCUGUGCCAACUUCUUGUGCCCCUCCAGCUUUCUCGCUGGCUGGGCAUCAGAAGCUGAAAAAUCCUUGACUUUAGACUAAACAUUACUUAGCAACAACUGAAAACAUCAGUGUUAUCAACAUUCUUCUCAUACUGAACUCAAAACAUAGCACUGUACCAGCUACUAGGAAGACAAUUAACUCUAUCCCAGAUGAAACCAGGACAUGAGCGAAGCACAACUAAAUAUGCUAUAAAAUGCUGUUCAUCAGUUUAAACUUUUACUAGAGCUCCUCCUUUUGAAUGCUCAACACUGCUAGGAUGUGCAAUGCAAAAUGCUACACUGCCAUGCCCGUACUUUACUGGCAACCAGGAGUUGCAGAAGCUGUUCCAUUUUUUAGACAUGCAGUCCAGGUGUAGAUGUCACAUCUGCCAUCUUUCCUGAGCAGUGGCAUCCCCAUAUUCUCGUGCAUAUUCCCUGAAACUACUGCCUUCUCCCAAGGCCGUCUGUAACAGAUUUUGCAUGUUCCUAACAUCUUUUUGGAAGCCAGACAGGUGCUGUGAAGAAGUUGACCUGAUUGGUACUUGUACACAGUCAGACAUAUGCAUGCAGGCACUGCACAGAAUUCUUAACAUGUUGCUACACUUUUCCUUCUGUCAGGAAACCUAUCUGGACUUCGGCAAAACCAGGACUGUCUUGUUAAUCUCACCUUCCCAGACCACUCCACUUUGGAGUCAGCAUUCAGAGGUUAUGUAAAAAGAACUAGGCCUUAAGCCUCAUUGUUUCUAAGACUAUUUGUAUCAGACAUAUAACUAAUGAUUAGAGAUUGCUUUAGAUGUGAUUAAUAGAAUGCAGGUGCUUAUAAAACAAUAUGCCUAAGCUGCUUAUUUGUCCUAUGUGUAGCCCCCACCAUGGCUGGCUAAAAACCCAGUCAAGCUGAAUCAACAGAAGAAGGAUCAUACAUCUUAAACCUAAGACAUGGGAGUAAGUGAUUAACUUUAGAACAAGAUAAAUCAAUAGAAUAACCUGAGUGAUUUUCAGAAAUUCAAAGGUGAUCUUUGAUGUGUAAGAAGAUAAGUGAUUGUGGUGACCCAAGACCUUCUGCCUACGACCACGAACUUCAGAAGAACCGGGACACGAGAAUUGAUGAGAUAAAUUGAUGAAUGAUAACGACAUGGGAACCGAGAUCGACUGGAAAAUUACAAAGACUUUGGACUGGGAUAAUGGGUGGUAAAAACAUAUAAGACUGAGAAAUUUUUGGAAGUUGCCAUUCACUGCAGUGGUGGCCCAACUCUGAGUUGUUAAUAAAGCAAACCUAAAGAUACCCAUGACUGAAAAUCCUUUAACAGAAUUGGUGACCCAGAUGGGACUCUAGGACACAAGAGAGAAAGAGAGCAACUGGAUAUUUCUCUGGACAAACUCAUUACCAACGCUCAAUUGCCGGCAGAAAUAAUCGGGACAUAUGCAAAGAGAGUGUCCACUGAGACCUGUUGCAACCUGAGGACUUCCACCUGCCCGAGCCCCGUGACCUCAUUCAUGGUAAAGAAUGGUACUCCUCUUCUCUGGAAAUUAAAAGAGCAAUGGAACCUGUUGGAAUCAAGGUAGAUGAGCAUGGUCAGAUGUCUGCAAAGGUAUCUGGGAAAGAAACUUGGAUCCAUCAUUCGCAUGCUCGCAAAGAAUCUGAAGAAUAAUGGACAGUUCUAAAGUAUUAUUCCUUUUUGUACUUGUUUGUAUUUUACCCUGGAGUGACACCUUGUGGACAAAAUUUGCAUUGCGCUAUCGAGAUGCCCGUACCAAUAGAACUGUUAUUACAUAUAGUGAUUGUUCUUUUCAAAUUUCGGGCCAAAUUGCCGGCCUACAGGCAAAGCCUGGACAGGUAAUUUUUUUGGCUAGUUAUCCGAAGACCAGACAGAGAGACCCUAUUUAUCCACUUCUUAAUUCUCUCGAAUUCUGUGCCAAUGUUAGAAGUAGACUUGACAAUUUGUGAGAUACUUGGUCCAAUGGUCAUGGCUUUUCUAAACAGUGGUGGGGAUAUGGCAUUCCAAGAACUUAUCCUGUAUAUCAUAUUCACCUUCAAGAACCAACAUGGGGAAUUGGAACAUGGUGCUUUGACCAUCAAAUGUGGGGAAUUUAUGGUAAGGGAGACUGGUGCUGUCAUCGAUUCCAUCUAUCGAGCAAUCAUUUUACUUUCAAAUUUAGGAUUGUAAUAAUCAAAUGGGGACCUAAUCUUCAGUGGAAUUUUUGGCACUGUCACGUGGAUUAUCCUCAUUCAUAUUAUAACAUGUCAUCUCUGAAUGUGUUAAAACAAUUUGUACGGAAACUUAGAGAUGUUCACCAAGUAGAAAAUGCCUGGAACAACAAUAUGCAUGUGUCAUUGUUGAAAUCUUUUACUAAUAAUCUAAAUUUAAGUGAAUGUUAGAUUUGUGUUGCUCUACCAAAGACAGUGAAUCAAGGAUUUCAGUUAGUAGGAAUACCGAUUCCUAAAAAUGCAAAUUGGAAAAAAAACUGGCUUAAUACUACUUUUUCCGAAUCUUAUGAAUAACAAAUUUGGGAAGUUAGAAUAUCAAAUUCAGGAAACUAUUCACAAGUCCACUGUCUACAAAGAUGUUAUCCCCCAAAUGUUGAUAAUCAACAUUUAUGCAAAAAUUAUUCAUUUAUAGGAAAUUGGACUCAAUGCCAAAACACAACUUCUAUCAACUCAGGAUUGCGUUUAAGUUGGCAAGCACCUGAGGACUUGGGUAUUUUUUGGUUAUGUGGGAGCAAAGCUUAUAAAGCUUUGCCUCCAGACUGGGGAGGUAUUUAUACUUUAGGAGUAAUGUCUACAGAUUAGAAAUUCACCCAAAAGCUGUCUCAAGUGCAACAUGGCAUAGAACCUUUUUAAUUCGAACCUGAAGAACUCUAAAUCCCUUGAUUGAAAGACCAACAGGAUUCCAUUCAUUUGUUAGGUGGUUAAUUCCGGCUUUAGGAGUAAGUGAAUUGAAAAAGCAGUCUUAAAUGUCUCUGAAGAAAUUGAAAAAUUAGCAAAUUCAACUGGUCACAGACUUUUCACUCUCCAGAAACAGGUAACUGAACUUUCAAAAAUGACUAUCCAAAACCGAAUGGCUUUAGACAUGACUCUGGCUUCACAAGGUGGAGUUUAUACUAUCCUAAAUACCAGUUGCUAUAUGUAUACUGAUCGAUCGGAAGAAUUAAUAACAGAUGUCCAGAAAAUUUGGUAGGUUAGUGCUACAAUGCAACAAAUUCAAAGACAUGACACAUACUGGGGAUUUUCUGACACAUUCUCUUGGUUAACGUCUUGGUUUCCAAAUUUGACUACUUGGGUGAAAAAACUAAUUGUAAUUAAUAGUCUUUGUUGUUAUAAUCAUGGUAGUAUGUGUGAUAUUGUUUUGUUUCAAUGCUGUAUAAGUUGUAGCUCUAGGAUAAUACAGAAGAUAGAGAAAGGUGGAGUUAUCAAUAUGAUCUCAGGAAUGCAAUGAAAAACAAAAGGAGGGAAUUGUAAAAAGAACUAGGCCUUAAGCCUCAUUGUUUCUAAGACUAUUUGUAUCAGACAUAUAACUAAUGAUUAGAGAUUGCUUUAGAUGUGAUUAAUAGAAUGCAGGUGCUUAUAAAACAAUAUGCCUAAGCUGCUUAUUUGUCCUAUGUGUAGCCCCCACCAUGGCUGGCUAAAAACCCAGUCAAGCUGAAUCAACAGAAGAAGGAUCAUACAUCUUAAACCUAAGACAUGGGAGUAAGUGAUUAACUUUAGAACAAGAUAAAUCAAUAGAAUAACCUGAGUGAUUUUCAGAAAUUCAAAGGUGAUCUUUGAUGUGUAAGAAGAUAAGUGAUUGUGGUGACCCAAGACCUUCUGCCUACGACCACGAACUUCAGAAGAACCGGGACACGAGAAUUGAUGAGAUAAAUUGAUGAAUGAUAACGACAUGGGAACCGAGAUCGACUGGAAAAUUACAAAGACUUUGGACUGGGAUAAUGGGUGGUAAAAACAUGUAAGACUGAGAAAUUUUUGGAAGUUGCCAUUCACUGCAGUGGUGGCCCAACUCUGAGUUGUUAAUAAAGCAAACCUAAAGAUACCCAUGACUGAAAAUCCUUUAA